UGUAUUUGCACCUGAUCUCAGACGUGAUACGCGCAGAUCUUAAGCAUAUCUUUAGCAGAGGAAAAGACACUAUCUAAGACUCUUUAUACGGGCAGAGUAAAAAA
rnacentral:rRNA from 1 species